rnacentral:rRNA from 1 species
UAGCGCCUCGUGAAUUCAUCUCCGGGGGUAGAGCACUGUUUCGGCUAGGGGGCCAUCCCGGCUUACCAACCCGAUGCAAACUGCGAAUACCGGAGAAUGUUAUCACGGGAGACACACGGCGGGUGCUAACGUCCGUCGUGAAGAGGGAAACAACCCAGACCGCCAGCUAAGGUCCCAAAGUCAUGGUUAAGUGGGAAACGAUGUGGGAAGGCCCAGACAGCCAGGAUGUUGGCUUAGAAGCAGCCAUCAUUUAAAGAAAGCGUAAUAGCUCACUGGUCGAGUCGGCCUGCGCGGAAGAUGUAACGGGGCUAAACCAUGCACCGAAGCUGCGGCAGCGACACUGUGUGUUGUUGGGUAGGGGAGCGUUCUGUAAGCCUGUGAAGGUGUGUCGUGAGGC